GCCAGACUCCUACGGGAGGCAGCAGUGGGGGAUAUUGCACAAUGGGGGGAACCCUGAUGCAGCGACGCCGCGUGGGUGAAGAAGCGCCUCGGCGCGUAAAGCCCUGUCAGCAGGGAAGAAAAUGACGGUACCUGAAGAAGAAGCCCCGGCUAACUACGUGCCAGCAGCCGCGGUAAUACGUAGGGGGCAAGCGUUAUCCGGAAUUACUGGGUGUAAAGGGUGAGUAGGCGGCAUGGUAAGCCAGAUGUGAAAGCCUUGGGCUCAACCCCGGGACUGCAUUUGGAACUGUGCUGCUAGAGUGUCGGAGAGGCAGGCGGAAUUCCUAGUGUAGCGGUGAAAUGCGUAGAUAUUAGGAGGAACACCAGUGGCGAAGGCGGCCUGCUGGACGAUGACUGACGUUGAGGCUCGAAAGCGUGGGGAGCAAACAGGAUUAGAUACCCGAGUA
rnacentral:rRNA from 1 species